rnacentral:rRNA from 1 species
GUGCCAGCAGCCGCGGUAAGACAGAGGGUGCAAACGUUGUUCGGAAUUACUGGGCGUAAAGCGCGUGUAGGUGGCAAGGCAAGUCGGGUGUGAAAGCCCCGGGCUCAACCCGGGAAGUGCAUUCGAUACUGCCAAGCUAGAGUCCCGGAGAGGAUGGUGGAACUCUCGGUGUAGAGGUGAAAUUCGUAGAUAUCGAGAAGAACACCGGUGGCGAAGGCGGCCAUCUGGACGGUGACUGACACUGAGACGCGAAAGCGUGGGGAGCAAACAGGAUUAGAUACCCCGGUAGUCC